rnacentral:rRNA from 1 species
UACGGGGGGAGCAAGCGUUGUUCGGAAUUACUGGGCGUAAAGGGCGCGUAGGCGGCCCGCUAAGUCGAACGUGAAAUCCCCAGGCUCAACCUGGGAACUGCGUCCGAUACUGGCAGGGCUUGAAUCCGGGAGAGGGAUGUGGAAUUCCAGGUGUAGCGGUGAAAUGCGUAGAUAUCUGGAGGAACACCGGUGGCGAAGGCGGCAUCCUGGACCGGUAUCGACGCUGAGGCGCGAAAGCUAGGGGAGCAAACGGG